UUUCCGUAGGUGAACCUGCGGAAGGAUCAUUAUUGGAUUUUGAAACUUCAGGCUGCUGCUGGCUCUCCUCGGAGGGCAUGUGCACGCUUGUUGUCCAUUAUUUCUCCCACUGUGCACAAAUUGUAGACCUUUCAGUAGGCCUAUGUUGUUUUUCACAAUCUUUGAAUGUAAUAGAAUGGUUUUGAAUCUUGGGAAAUACAAUACAACUUUCAGCAACGGAUCUCUUGGCUCUC
rnacentral:misc_RNA from 1 species